ACCUGCCGGCGAGCGGCGAACGGAUGAGUAAUGCAUAGGAACGUACCCAUGUGGUGGGGGAUAGCCCGGCGAAAGCCGGAUUAAUACCGCAUACGCCCUGAGGGGGAAAGCGGGGGAUUCUUCGGAACCUCGCGCCAUUGGAGCGGCCGAUGUCGGAUUAGCUAGUAGGUGGGGUAAAGGCUCACCUAGGCGACGAUCCGUAGCUGGUCUGAGAGGAUGAUCAGCCACACUGGGUCUGAGACACGGCCCAGACUCCUACGGGAGGCAGCAGUGGGGAAUUUUGGACAAUGGGCGAAAGCCUGAUCCAGCCAUGCCGCGUGAGUGAAGAA
rnacentral:rRNA from 1 species